rnacentral:rRNA from 1 species
UGGUAAUGCCGGAUGUUCCACAUGAUCGCAUGUGAUUGUGGGAAAGAUUUCAUCGGCGUGGGAUGGGGUCGCGUCCUAUCAGCUUGUUGGUGAGGUAACGGCUCACCAAGGCUUCGACGGGUAGCCGGCCUGAGAGGGCGACCGGCCACAUUGGGACUGAGAUACGGCCCAGACUCCUACGGGAGGCAGCAGUGGGGAAUAUUGCACAAUGGGCGCAAGCCUGAUGCAGCGACGCCGCGUGAGGGAUGGAGGCCUUCGGGUUGUAAACCUCUUUUGUUUGGGAGCAAGCCUUCGGGUGAGUGUACCUUUCGAAUAAGCGCCGGCUAACUACGUGCCAGCAGCCGCGGUAAUACGUAGGGCGCAAGCGUUAUCCGGAUUUAUUGGGCGUAAAGGGCUCGUAGGCGGCUCGUCGCGUCCGGUGUGAAAGUCCAUCGCUUAACGGUGGAUCUGCGCCGGGUACGGGCGGGCUGGAGUGCGGUAGGGGAGACUGGAAUUCCCGGUGUAACGGUGGAAUGUGUAGAUAUCGGAAAAAAACACCA